rnacentral:lncRNA from 1 species
UUUAAAUAGAACAGGAAUUAUCAAAUUGUGUUUUCUCUUCCGUCUUUUCAGCCAUUACAUAUCCAGAAUCAAGUUCAUCUCCUGAGCCAUCCCCACUGAUGGAAAGGCGGAGCCGUUGGUCAAAACCUCAUGUUAGGUAAAAAGCGUGACGAAAGUUCUGACUUUUCUCUGUCUGCUCACUUAGCCCCUCCUCCGUGUGGAUUUACAGAUAUGAAUGAGCACAGUGAGGCAGAAUGUGAUAUUUCUACCGUGGGGAAACUGAAGGUCUUCAAAAAGAAGAUCCAUCGCUCAAGUAAAAGCUCUCUAUCUAGUCAAAAACCUCUGUUCUCGACCGAAGAGCACAAUUUUACUAUUGCUGUAUAGUUAGAUGAAAAGUUGCUCUUUGGGAUUUGUAUCGAAUCAUUUUAUUUUUCUGCCGCCUUCCAUUUUUGUCUCCAAGUCAAACACCGCUGAUGUUGCAACAGUAGGGUAUUUAUGAGUUAAUUUCUGAUCUACAUAUCAAUUUUUGCCAAACACCUAAUUGAUUAGCCACUAUUUUUUGUUCAAAAAUUCGAGCUUCAACUGACAACUUGCCGAACAUUCAAUCAUGAAAAUGUGCAUUUGCAAAAAGAAUUAAAUAUCAUGCGUCUUUAGAAAAUCUUUGGAUCACCAUCAUUACAACUUAAAAGGAAAAUUAACUUUUCACUUCGGAAUACCAACAUGCAAAGUAAAAUGCGACAUCUGAUCAUAAUUGUUAAAACAAAACAGUUCUUUAAAAUGAGUUUAUUUUAACCACUUUGAAGAUAGAUUGCCACUCUGCACUGAUGCUUUAUCACUGGUGAUUUGGAUACAAAUUGUCUGUCUCUUUUUAAAUGUUAAACUUUGUUAAAUUUUAUUGAUAGGAUAAACUUAUCAAAAUACGCUUAAAAUGGUUCCUAGUAGAUAUUUAUUUCAGUUAUAUCUUACUUUUAUGUGUUUUGUUUUUUCUUCUCUUUUUUCAUCAGUAAAUUUGAAUUUAAUGAGGAAUAAAAAUCAUCCUCCUCCUUUUUUUCUUGCUUUUAUUGUUUGUGGUGAUGAACAUUCAUUAUAGCAGAUAGCUGGAAUAAAUCUAGCACUUUUCAUGUUUCAGUCAUCAAAUCAGGAACUUUUGAUAUUUUACAGAUUUUCUAGUCAUUUAAUAAAAAUAAUUAUACUUUACCUUGACUCAAAAGUUGCUGUUAGGGGUAGUUGUGCAAAGAAAUUUUACCUGAGUGUGCAAUUUGAUUCAAAUAGACCAUUCUUUUUCUUGUGAGUGCAGGAUUCAAAAUUCCCAUAGUCAAUGUAAACUAAAAAUGGUAAUAUCUUGAGUAUGUAAAAGUUGUUUUUGGUAAUUAUUGUUGUAAGACCGGUGCUCCAUGUGAAAUUUUGGUAAGGAAUCAAGUACCAGAAUGCUUAAAUUUGCACAUUGUCUAGUAGUCUAUUUGUAACAAAGGGCUUAAAUUAUCUGACCAGAGGUUGCCGUUUAUUCUGUUAUGAAAAUGACAGUAUGAAAGAUCAUUCAAUGAGUAUUUUCCCCUCAGUUUAUUGACGUGUCAUCUAGAAAUUUCUAAGUGUCAAGAGAAACCAAUAUGCCUUUGUCUACAUCGACUCCAUGCUCAAGCUAUUUCAAAAUGUGGAUAUCAGUAUCAAAAUGGAUUUCUCUGAGCAUGUAAAUACACGCCUUGCACUGCCCUUAAGACUGAUUCAAAGCAUCUGAAUUUUGAUGUUUCAAAAUAUCACAAAAACCAAUCCACAAUUACUUCUAAUACUAAUGCAAUUUUACUUUCUUAUGAACUUAAUUGCUCAUUUUUAUACGUUUUUCGUUUGAGAUUUUGUGUAGAGUCAAUGCACUAAUUUGAUUGGUUAAAUACUCUCUCUUGAGUUCAAUUUUGUAAAAUUUUUCAUGUUUUAACUUAUUAUUUACCUAUCAAUAGGUAUAAGUCAUUUUUUUAAAUUUUUUUAAAAAAUGAAAAAUUAGACCAGGGAAUUAUGUACAGUAUUGUUGCAUAUAUUGAUUUAUUUGUACCUCUUUAAAUUUUUUUAUUAAUAAAUCUAUUUUAUAUUUUUU